AUUGAACGCUGGCGGCAGGCCUAACACAUGCAAGUCGAGCGGUAGAGAGGUGCUUGCAUCUCUUGAGAGCGGCGGACGGGUGAGUAAUGCCUAGGAAUCUGCCUAGUGGUGGGGGAUAACGUUCGGAAACGGACGCUAAUACCGCAUACGUCCUACGGGAGAAAGCGGGGGAUCUUCGGACCUCGCGCCAUUAGAUGAGUCUAGGUCGGAUUAGCUAGUUGGUGAGGUAAUGGCUCACCAAGGCGACGAUCCGUAACUGGUCUGAGAGGAUGAUCAGUCACACUGGAACUGAGACACGGUCCAGACUCCUACGGAGGCAGCAGUGGGAAUA
rnacentral:rRNA from 1 species